GGUGAAUGUUCAAGACAGUGUCAAGCCUCUGUCUCUCCUGUCUAGAAAUGAGUGUAUUUAGCCCUGAAAACGACGGAUUCAAGGUGAUGUCCCAUUUGGUUGUUAGCAAAUGCCUUUGCGAUUGGUUCUCUGGAAUGUCUGGCUGACUGAGAGACUUCUAGAACACACGAGGAGAUAACUGAUAAGAUGCGUUCGAUGGAAAUAGUUUGAGAAGAUGCAACCGACCUCCUUAGUUAGCUUAGGGAUAACAGCAAUACAAAUGAAGAAGAAGGAUGAGUGAGUGACAAGUCAUACCUUCCCACUUAUCUCGACUAGCAGGAGAGUCACCCAAUGGAAUGAGGGUCACGUAACUCCUGAUAAAAGGCAUCCGAUACCUUAUGGGUUUGGGAUAUUAAAAACUAUGCAUUUCCAUUCUAAGUAAAGUGUAUGUAUAAUUGUUGUUAACAAUACGAGGAAAUAUGGCUUUAAAGGGGGAUUAAAGAACUAAUAAGGAAGGAAAAUAUGGAUACAGUACAGUGCAGUACAGAAGGAAUAGUAUGGGUACAGUGCGUCACAGAAUCCAAGUGUUGCUUGUAAAUAGUGUAUAAUCUGUCAUAUGAUAAUGAAGUUAUUCCAUAACGAAACAUGUAUUUUUUUACAAGUGAUGCACGCAGACAGUAUAUCAUACAGUUAUUACAGAUAUCUGACUAAAAAUUUUUUAUUGUGUUAAAAGUAAAAAUAAGUGUGGAAAAUAAAUAUACCAAAAUAUUUCUAAGGUUAAAAAUGAUGUUAAUUGAAAACAGU